rnacentral:sRNA from 1 species
AUGGAAGGAAAAGGGCCUGUGGUGGAUAGACAAGAGCAUGCUGAUGUACGACUGGGAUUAUCUAGCAAAAGCUUAGGUAUAUGGGAUAACGGGUUUUAUGUAGAAGGGUCUAUUGGGGGUAAAGUGGUUACAUUCCUGGUUGACAGUGGGUCUACAUCAACGCUGAUUUCAGCCAAGCUUCAUCAAUCUCUCCAGACCAAACACUUUCCACUGAGUGCGGUAUCACGUAGCCUGAGGGAUGUGAAUGGCAACAAUCUGACGAUCCAUGGAAGUAUGGAUCUAGGUAUAAAGUUGAAAGAGGACACGUACAUGAUCCCAGCCCUUGUGUGUGUCAUUUCACAAGAUGCUAUUUUAGGUCAAGAUUUCUUAUUGAGAUAUGUUCACAAAAUUGACUUUCAAAAUCUACAAAUAUCCAUAGGUAAUGAUACAAUAGACUGUUGGACAGGAGGUCAAGCUGCAAUGGUCUGCAGAGUGCACGUUAGUGAAGCCGUCACAAUUCCUGCCUGUUCUCAAAUGAUGAUUCCAGUUGACAUCCCAAAUGCUCAUCGUCUUUCCAACACAGUCCUUAUGGAACCAUCCAUCAAACUGAUGGAGAAGAAAGGCAUAACAUUAACACCUGGAGUUAUUGACUCUAAAUCAAACUGUCAUGCAGCAAAUAUUGUAAAUUAUUGCAAUGAAGAAAUAAAGUUGUACCCGUCACCAAAGGCAAAACAGCAUUCCACAAAACAGUUAUCUACGAGAAAACAAUCGUGUAAAGAAAUGGGACAAACAACCAGAAAUAGCAAUUGCACCAAUGACAUCUCACCUCUAAGGAGCCCCUCACUGUCAAUAUCGCUGCACGGGAGUCCAUCUUUAGUAAACUUGUAUGGGUUAGAUGAUGAGCCAGUGACAUUCGAGCCACCCAGGAAAGUUGUGCGGUCCAGUCCUACAGUGAGUGAUCUUCCUCCAGUAAAGAGCCAUGCUUUUUCAUCCGCAACCACCUGUGUUCCUGCGGUGAGUGUCGUUGUUCCACCUGCAUCCACCACUGUUUCAUCCGUGAGGAAUGAAGUGGCUGUUCCAUCUGAGACGGCUGGUGUUCCACAAGAGAAUGUUGCUUUCCCUGUGGCUUCUGUUUUUGCGCCUUUUGAUGAGUCUGCAAUGAAUCUUGUUUCUGCUUCUUCUUCUACAGUUAUGUCACCCACCAGCUCUUUUAUUGCCAGUUUAGGAGCUGACUUUCCCUUGGUGUGUCCAUUGAAGGAUUCUGUGCUCUCUGGGUCAUCUGCUCCUCUUGCGACAUCCGGUUCGACAUCAGUAGAAACCUGUCCUCCAGCAACAUAUUAUGUUCUUCAUUCAUGCCAGGGCUCGGAUCUUAGUAAAUCAUCACUGGACUUAUCCAAGGAUCCACGGUUAUUCUUUGCUCGAGCUCCGAGUGGGAUUGAGAACACUUUUGUUGCCAACAUGCUGAGGAGGGCCAUUAAAGAUACCAUCCUCUUCUUGUUACGUUACCAAGAUGGAGGAGCUACGUUUUCCGGAUGGAAGAACUUACCGGUUGACUAGCACGAU